rnacentral:rRNA from 1 species
UACGGGGGGGGCAAGCGUUGUUCGGAAUUACUGGGCGUAAAGGGUUAGUAGGUGGCCAACUAAGUCAGACGUGAAAUCCCUCAGCUUAACUGGGGAACUGCGUCUGAGACUGAUUGGCUCGAGGACAGGAGAGGAACGCGGAAUUCCAGGUGUAGCGGUGAAAUGCGUAGAUAUCUGGAGGAACACCGGUGGCGAAGGCGGCGACCUGGACAGGUACUGACACUGAACUACGAAAGCGUGGGGAGCAAACAGG